AAUGGGCGCAAGCCUGAUCCAGCAAUGCCGCGUGAGUGAUGAAGGCCUUAGGGUUGUAAAGCUCUUUCGCACGCGACGAUGAUGACGGUAGCGUGAGAAGAAGCCCCGGCUAACUUCGUGCCAGCAGCCGCGGUAAUACGAAGGGGGCUAGCGUUGUUCGGAAUUACUGGGCGUAAAGGGCGCGUAGGCGGCCUGAUAAGUUAGGAGUGAAAGCCCCGGGCUCAACCUGGGAAUUGCUCUUAAUACUGUCAGGCUUGAGUUCCGGAGAGGAUGGUGGAAUUCCCAGUGUAGAGGUGAAAUUCGUAGAUAUUGGGAAGAACACCGGUGGCGAAGGCGGCCAUCUGGACGGACACUGACGCUGAGGCGCGAAAGCGUGGGGAGCAAA
rnacentral:rRNA from 1 species